AAUUCUUAUUUUAUAUAUGUAAUAAUCACUACAGCAGAGGCGGAGAGUAGCGGCGGGUAAGUAGCGGCCGUGGCCAUAAUCGCCGCAGAUUGGAAGGAUUGCGGCAGAGGUGAGCUACGGUCUGGUAGAAGUCACAAAACGGCCAUGGAUAGCGGCUGGGUAGUGAAAACCACUGCGAAAUUGGACAUAUAUAUCUUCAAGCUUCCUUGGCUUAUCCUAUCUUCUUAGCGCGAACAAGUGUGGGAGCAGAGGUGCGAAACACACCCACUCUCCCUGUGCCGCAACAUCCACAGCGACUGCUUCAAGAAACGCCGCUAGGGGAGGAUCUUAUCAUAAUUCAUUUUUUCAAUUCCCCUUUUUAUCUUAUAACCAGUAAUUGAUUCCCCCCAAUUUUGCAGAAACCCACGAGUUAACCUUGGUAGUGCACGAAACACUACCAUCGCUGCUUUAUCGUGCGCCAUUGCUGUUGAUCCAUCCAUAGUUCCCGAAACCCUACCCCCUCAUCCACGGCGUGAAAAAUCCCUCACCUUGGCUUCACCCUGUGCCUCUGUGUGGGUUGUCGAGUCGCGCGGGGUCCAUUCGUGCUUCUCUCACCGGCGUCGAAGUUUCCUAAUUCCUCGAUCGUGCGUGACACCGUUACACCCUCCUCCACCGUGCGCCAAUCUGAGCUAUCGCGGCCUCUUUCCUGUCACUGGUUCAUUCUGACACUUUGAUCUUUCCUUUUUUUUUCAUUCUUAGUUCAUAAUUUUGAAAAAGGAUAUUUAUAUCUUCUAUUAAUUGUGGUUAAUUGAUGCUGUUUAGAGUUAGGGAUUUGAUGUUACCACUUUUUUUUAUUUAACGGGUGUUGUGUAUUGAAAGUAAUAGUUAGAGUAGAUAAAUAAAAAAAGGUCAUUAUCAUUAUUAGAGGAAUGAAUUGGUCAUGGAUCGUGCUUCCUAUUUUUUCAAUUGGAAUCAUUAAACAAGAGGGACUUAGGUGCGUAUAUAGAAUAAAACAAAAAACACUAAGGUGUUCAUGCUGAUCUACAUUAUGCUCUUUGUAUGCUACUAACAGCUAUGUUCUGCUUCUGAUCUUGGAAUUGCUAAGAUUAUUUGGUUUAAUAGUUGCUGAUCUAAUGAUGUGUGUUAGGGAAAUUACUUGCAAAUUUUGAUGCUGAUUGUUGUCAUUUUCUGGUCAUUGUGCUUAUUCUGCUAUUGCUUAUUUGCUAUUGCUAUUGGACCACUUCUCAUGGUGUUGAUUUGUUAUCUUUGUUGUUCAUUUAUUAAUUGCACAAUUAUGUUCCUCACAAUACUGAGUUGUUACUGAUGUGUUGCUUACCAAUUGUUAUGUUGCUGCCAUUGUAGUGUUACUCUACUCCUAACCAAUUUGGUUCAUUUUAUGCUAAGUGCUGCUGUUUGGUUGCUACUAUGCUUACUGUGACAAGUUGUAGUAAUCUUAGACUAAUUAAUCAUUCCCUAAUAGGUUAAGUAUCCUUCUAGCUUAAAUUUAAGUUGAUUUUGGUCAUUACCCUUCUUUAGUCUAUCAUCAAAAAUAGUAAUCGGGUCGAUCAAUAGUCACACUUGCUGCUUAUAUCACUCACCAUGAACUUACUAGGCCCUUUAUAGUUAAUUAAUCUUGCUUUCUUCACCUUUUUUUAGUUCUCUUAGUGUCAUUUGUUAAAAGGAUUGCCAUAGUAUCUAUUCUCACACAUUAUGUUUUCUAUGUAUCUAAAUCUAAGAAAAAAAGUAAAUCAUGCUAUUGCAUUCUCGGUUCCUUUUACUAUAUGUGGCAAGUUGAUGCCUAUAUGAUUUGUUCUUAUGUUUUACAUGAUUAAAUUUCUGUCAACAUCAUCUGAUGUCACUUUUCAAGUCUCAGUCUUUUAUUUCCCAUCUGAUUUUUAAUUUCAGUUUUCAUUAUUUGAUGGGAAUAGCAUUGCAUAACGACGGGACUAGUCUUUGUACCUUUUUAUACAGGUUAAACUGUUUGUUGCUAGUAUUUAUUCUUCUGGUUCAGGUAAUUUAUACUAGAUGGCAUUGUUAUCCAUUGGCAAAAUCAAGUUAUGGGACCUGGUUGCUAUAACUCUCAAAGGAAUAGUUCCCACACACUUCAUUCAUCUUGCAUGUCUUAUUUUUUUUGUGACAAUCUUGCUUAUCUUAUAAGUUCAUUUACUGCUAUUUUUCUGCAUAAAAAAAUGAACAAAAAAGAAGACAGGAUAGGAAUUUUAUGGGAAUUUGAUUACACUAAAUGUAUUAAGGAAUAGGAAAUUUUCAUUUUGGUAUGUGGUAACCUAUUAACUUGCCUGGACUAGCCUAAUUUUGAGUGAUAGAUAGUAGGUAAAAAAGAAAAUGUAAGAAAAGGAUAGGCGGAGAGGAAGAAUAAUGUGUUAAGGGGGUUUAGAUGUUUGAGAGUUUUAAGAAGAAAAGUGAAAGUAGGCUUCUAUGAGAUUACACCUUGUUUGGUAUUGUUUGAUCUUUUGUUAAAAUUGAUAAUAAGCAGGUGAGAUUUUCUUCGCUGUGGGAUGUAACUAUAUCAUUCGUCUUAUAUUCUAUGCAAUUCAUUGGAUAGAUUUAUUUAUUCCCUCCAUUUCUUAUUGAUGAUCUUUUCAAUUUUUUAAUGCAUACAUAAAUCAAUGAAAUCUACAUUUGCUAAGUUAAUUUCUGUUGAUUGCUACUUAUUUAUUAUAAGUUGUAUAGAAUAAAGCAAAUUAAUUUCUGUUGAUUGCUAAAUUAAUUUCUGCUAUAUUGGAUGAUAGGGAAUUAGAAGUUUAGGUAAUUACCAUUUUUUGAAAAUAAAAGAAAUAAGAGUUAUUAAAAAAUAUAUAGCAUUAGUUUAUAACUAUUAGGAAAAAAAAGCAUAAAAAGAAAAGACAGUAGAAAACUUUUAACUUCAAAUGGUUCAAUAAUAAUAGUGCUUCUCAAAGCAAUAAUACAAAUAGGAUAAAAAAAUUUUCUCUUACGGGUAAGAGUUCUUCCUAAUGCAUUUGCAUAUUGUUAUGAUAAUUUAUAACAUUUUUUUUUUCAAAAAUUAGAAAUUUUAACAAUAUAAAUUAUUCAUAAUGUGCAUGAUAAAUUAACUUAGUGCCUAUUUUGAAUUCAAAUCAUCAUCAUAAAUAAAUUUUUUUCUUCGAACUAUUCCAAAAAAUAAUAAUAAGACAUAUAAAAAAUGUGAAAACAGAACAUAGGCAGAAAAAAUUGAAGAAAAGCUCACUUUAUUUUGUAUGCUAUUAGUACCUUUCAUAUUUUUCUUAUUAUAACAAUGUGAUGAGAGCACGAUAUUUUUUUCGUCUAGUGCUCUCUUUCAAUUAUGCAUAACUAUAUGUGGGGAAGAGGAAAUUACUAUGUUUAACAAUGUGCAUCAUGCAUAUAAGUUAAGUUGGUGUCAUUUAAUAUUGCAUUUUAAAAAUUGUAGUGUGUAUAAUUGUAUAAAGUUGUGCAAUGUGGUAAAUAAAAUAUUGUUUGAGCACCACAUUGUAAUAAUGUGAUUUUGUGUUUUUGAUUUUUUCUUUAUAUACUACUUAUUUAAUAUCUUGUAUUCAUUCAUGAUGUAUGUUAGCGUAUUUAUGUAUGUUAAAUCACUUUCAAUAAGUUUUAGACAAAUAGAAGUAAUGUGCACUCUGUUUUCAUCAAAGACCAACUCAAGGGCUUUAUUCUUUGUAUUUUUUUUGUUAGAAAAAAGAUUAAAUGAGUAAAUUAUAUGAAUGUUGAGUUUUGUGUUGAUGGAUAGCCCGAUUUGCUGGGGAGUUAUCAAUGUUAAUGUUUUGGACCUUUUUGUUUAGGUGUUCUUGUUAUUUGGAUGACCCUGCUGGCUCAGGUAGUGUCUUUUGGCUUGUUUCUACAUUUUGUAUGCUUUUUGGGGCUACAACUCAUGAAGCAAAAGAUAUUUCAUUUGCUAGCAUUUUAUUAUCUUUUUUUUUUGUGUCUUACUCUUCUUGCCCUGCCUUUUUUAUUCUUAUUUUUUAUGUUCUUUUUCGUUGAACCAAUUAUUUGCAUCUCCAUGGUAGAAGACAGGAUAGGAAAACUAUGAUCAAAUAUUCUUAGAAGUAUAUCUAAAAUCAUAUAUCUACAAUUUCAAGAUUUUAUUCUCUAUCCAUUAUGAUCGUUUAGUUAUAUUUUUUGUUUUAAUUAGUUUUUAAAUCUAACUUUCACCCCUAUUUUUUUUUUCAUUUUUUAAAGAAGCUUUUCUUUAUCUUUUCAUUUUUUGGACUUGGAACCAGCAAUUCUUUCUCCUAGUAUGUUUAGAAAGCACAAAAUUUUGCAAUGAGUAAGCAGCCCCUCAAUAGAUUGAAUUGAUCGAGUUAUUUUAGAUAUUUAAAAACUUAUUCUCUCAUAAAAAACUCUUUUAUCUAACUGGUUUUUCACAAUGUUGUAACCUCUCCUUUAAGUCUUCUUGCAGUCACAUUUUUAUAUUGUCUUUGUACAGUCUUUCUAUGUCUAUGGCUUAUCAGAGAAAUUGGAGAGCCGAGACUUCUUUUUGGUUUGCAGUAGCCGCUGAUUCGUAGAGAAGAUGAUAGAUGGAUCUCCAUUCUCUUCGUUGGACCACGCAACAUUCUUUGCAAGACAGUUGUGGUUUAAAGAGUCUCGUAUACAAUCAUGGCUGGAUGCCUUCUCUGAACACAGACACCUCACUCGAGCCAUUGGUCAUGUGCCUACUUCAAUGAUGAAGAAUUGCUUCAAUGGGAUCGAAGGUACAUUGCUAAAUUUGGUUUGAGUUUACAACAAGUACGGACACGUGGUUCUCACAGAAAAUACUUGAUGAGGUGAAGGUUAUAUCCAAACAGUAUUUGAACAUUAUUGUUGGUAUUUUGUGCUGGCACGCUAUGAAAAUACUCUUGUCGUUAAACUGGAUAUUGCAGCACGAGAGGAAUUCAAGCUCAUAGAACAUGGAAUUGAACGACUUUGGGGAUGGUUAUCUCGAUCCCAGAUUCAGGAGGCAUCCGAAGAACCAGGGGAGGUGGUUCCAUAUUCAAUGGAGAAAAAGGACGUCUCCUCCGAUGGCUCUGAUGAGGCUGAUUCUGUUGGAUGAAAGGCCUCGAUGCUGUCAUAUGACCUCAAUAAAACACCAGACGAGAAUGAAUAUCCUUAUAGUGGAAUGUCUCCUGAAAAGAAGAGUGUGUGGCACUUGACUAUGUGGGCAAAACGAUACUUGAAACCUUGAGGAUAGUGCAAUAGUUUAGUUGAAAAAUUUCGAUUCAGGUUUAUAGAAUAGCCAAGACUUGUUUGUUGAAUUUGUCAUGACUUUAUAAUUGUUCAGAUUAUUAUACUUACUUUUAUUAUUGUUCCCAUUAUUAUUAUUACCAUUGUGAUUACUAUAUUAUCAA